rnacentral:rRNA from 1 species
CAGUCGCCGCGGUAAUACAGAGGAUGCAAGCGUUAUCCGGAAUGAUUGGGCGUAAAGCGUCUGUAGGUGGCUUUUCAAGUCCGCCGUCAAAUCCCAGGGCUCGACCCUGGACAGGCGGUGGAAACUACCAAGCUAGAGUACGGUAGGGGCAGAGGGAAUUUCCGGUGGAGCGGUGAAAUGCGUUGAGAUCGGAAGGAACACCUGUGGCGAAAGCGGCUCACUGGACAAUAACUGACGCUGAUGCACGAAAGCUAGGGGAGCAAACAGGAUUAGAUACCCCAGUAGUCCCUGUCUCUUAUAC